UACGUAGGCAGCGAGCGUUGUUCGGAAUUACUGGGCGUAAAGAGUGUGUAGGCGGUGCUCUAAGUUCGGUGUGAAAUCUCCUGGCUCAACUGGGAGGGUGCGCCGGAAACUGGAGUGCUUGAGCGUGGGAGAGGAAAGCGGAAUUCCUGGUGUAGCGGUGAAAUUCGUAGAUAUCGGGAGGAACACCGGUGGCGAAGGCGGCGACCUGGGACAAUACUGACGCUGAGGUGCGAAAGCGUGGGGAGCAAACAGG
rnacentral:rRNA from 1 species